GGAGCAGUCCCCCCUGGGCGGGCAAAGGGAGCGGGUUACUUGUCAACAUGAUGCUAGACUGUGCCGGGCAGGGCGGUUCCAGCCUGCGUUACGUUUGUGUAUCUUGUGUCCUGUGUCUUAGCCCUCCCUUGGGUCUCAGUGCCCUCUUUGCACACAAGGGGCGCAGCGUGCUUCUCGGACGCCAUCCCUAGGGUCUUGAAUGCCUCUACUCAUCGGCAUAGUGCCAACGGGGAGCUUCUUUUCUUGCAUAGCAAGCUUACGGUGUGGAUCGGUCUCGCGCGUCGGAAGUUUCCGGUGGGUCCUCUUUUUGAGGCACAAUACCGGGCUGCGUCGGGAGCUCUGCUCUCCGGCCGUUCCUUUUCAGGGACUGAGUCUUGCUCUCUGUGUCCUUAUGUUCUUAGGUCUUGAAGCAAGCCAUCUUGCUGCAUCCGUCAUCUUGGUUUUGACAGUAACUUCUUAUAACAGGUCAUCAUGGCCAAUUCUUUUCUGGGGUUGCCAUAGAGCCUCUUUGCCUGGGUGUUGCGCCCUGUAGGUCAUCUUGCUCGGCAGUCUCUCCGGUCCGGGAGUCGUUCUUCUUGCUGAGAGUUUUCUCUCAUCUUUGAGUCAUGUCAUUUGCAGCGUUCUGAGUAGUGUUGGCCUGUGUGUGUGGUGGGUGUGGAGCUGCUCUGCCCGGGGGUGUUGAGUCAGGGUUAGGUGGAAUAGCAAUAAGAGCGUAUGGUUAGUAUGUUGAUAUGCCCAGUCUGGAGUUGUUUGGCUCUCGGUUGGCCUCUGGGUGACUUGUUUAAUAAUCUGGUGUGUUUUUCAGAUGCGGACAGGCUAGAUGCGCACCAAAGAGUGGCAGAGGAGGGGAGCGGAGCGCCGUAGGAGGAAGGUGUGAAUCUGGAUAUCGAUAUGGGAGAUGACUUGGGCCAGGUGGGGUGCAAGCAUGGCAGCCCAAAAUGACUGAGGCCAGAUG